UACGUAGGGGGCAAGCGUUGUCCGGAUUUAUUGGGCGUAAAGAGCUCGUAGGUGGUUCGGUAAGUCGGAUGUGAAAUCUCCAGGCUCAACCUGGAGGGGUCAUUCGAUACUGCCGUGACUAGAGGUCGGUAGGGGAGUGUGGAAUUCCUGGUGGAGCGGUGAAAUGCGCAGAUAUCAGGAGGAACACCCGUAGCGAAGGCGGCACUCUGGGCCGAUACUGACACUGAGGAGCGAAAGCGUGGGGAGCGAACAGGA
rnacentral:rRNA from 1 species